rnacentral:rRNA from 1 species
GACGGAGGAGGCUAGCGUUGUUCGGAAUUACUGGGCGUAAAGCGCGCGUAGGUGGUUUGUUAAGUUGGAUGUGAAAGCCCUGGGCUCAACCUGGGAACUGCAUCCAAAACUACUGAGCUAGAGUACGGUAGAGGGUAGUGGAAUUUCCGUGUGUAGCGGUGAAAUGCGUAGAUAUAGGAAGGAACACCAGUGGCGAAGGCGACUACCUGGACUGAUACUGACACUGAGGUGCGAAAGCGUGGGGAGCAAACAGGAUUAGAAA